rnacentral:tRNA from 1 species
GGGCCUCUAGCUCAACUGGCAGAGCAGCGGACUUUUAAUCCGCGGGUUGUGGGUUCGAGACCCACGGGGCCCACUA